rnacentral:lncRNA from 1 species
CUGGAGCGGGGGCCGCCUCCAAGUAUUGUCUUUCGAAUUAAGUUACUGUCGUCUGUGUUGUCAGGCAACAACUGACCUUAAAUAAAAAUGAAAACCAGAAGUAGGCUACACAUGCAAUAGGCUACACAUGCAAUAAUGGAUACUUAAGGAAUGGGAGUGGCUGCUGGUGACUGGAGCAGAGAGGGUGUGGUUUCCCCAUGUUUCGGGGCCGGGGGGAAGGAGUAAAGUCUGUGUUCAGAGCCCAGACGCCAUGUCGGUCAUCACAUCACCGGGAGAACUCGUGGAGCCUGAGGAAAGGCUACGGGGUGCCAGAGUCUGAAGGGGCGGAAGAUUGCAUUCCUAUCACGUUCGCCGUGGCGCACAGGGGCUCCGCUGGGGCCGCCGCUCCCGCAGGAGAAGUGGGCCUGAGACGGUGCGGCGUCGACCAUAGCCGGCCCAGCAGAAGCCGGGGAAGGCCACAAGUGUAACUGGGUCCGAGUACUGUGAAGAAGGCGCCUCCCAUGGAGAAAGCUACCGGGUAGUUUAACAAGGUGGAAAAGCGUUGGCCUGGGGAGGAGGAAAGGAUGCUCAGAAAGUUGCCUCAAAAGGACGCAGAAGUGGAGGUGAAUCUUCUGUUUCAGAGGCAUUUUUUUGUGCCUCUGUGAGAAUGCAUUGCUUCCUGGUUGAUCCAUCUUCAGGUUUUCUCUCCGUCCUAGUCCCUGUUCUGCCACCAUUCUGUGUUUGAAUCUGGUACCUAAAGCCGCAGAUACUUGGUUCAUAGUAGAUGUCCACUCUGCAGUGGCUGAAAACACGGAAGAAAAACCAUCUUUGCCUGGGAAGGACAUUAUUGCUAGUGCCAUUACUGUCAACAGUUGGAACAAGAUAAACGGCAUGCCCAAUCUAGUUGAGGAUUUUGGACACCGGGCCUCCCACUGGGACUCCGCCGAGAAACCAGGUCUGCCAUUGCCACCUCCGCCGGGCCUUGCUGUCUUAGCACAACGGAGUCUCGCUGUCACCCAGGCUGGAGUGCCAUUGGCGUGCUCUCGGCUCACUGCAAACUUCGCCUCCUGAGUUCAAGAGAUUCUCCUGCCUCAGCCUCCCAAGUAGCUGGGAUUACAGCGCGCUCAGGAAUAUAUGUUGAAACACAGAGAAGGAGGAGACUGACUUCGAGGAGAUGCACAGGAAGAUGGCCAUGUGGAGACAGAGGCAGACAUUGGAGUGAUGCUCAGAAGAAAAGGCACUCUAGGAGCCUGCAGAAGCCUCAGAGGUAAGGAAGGAUUCUUCCCUAGAGCUUUUGGAGGGUGUGGUCCUGCCCACACCUGGAUUUUAGACUGAUCCGCACAACCACAAGAUAAUAAUUUCCGUUGUCUUAAGUCAUUCUGUUUGUGUCAAUUUGUUAUUCAACCCUAGGAAAUGAAUAAACACCCUGACCUUCACUAUGACAGGGCGUCUGACAUUUCCUUUGGCCUUAGCCUGACACUGACUCUCCUCCUGGCCCCAGCCCUGACACGGCCACUCACCCGAAGCUGGACUUUAUCCUGGCCCUCACCAUGACCCUGAGCCUGACCCUCACCAUUAUCCUGAACAUUCUGUGUCCCUCACCCUGAGCUGCUUCUACCCUGUGCCCUCACAUUCACUUAGAGCUAGACCUUGACCACCCCCUGUCCUGCAAUCACCCUGAUAUUGAAUAUAACCUUCUUCAUAACUUUGACGCUGACUCUGAACUUGACCCUCAUCCUGAUAUGAACCCUG